CAACCGAAUCAGGGAAUGAACGGAUUUUUUCUAUCUAUUCUAUUUAGUAUAUUUCUUUCUGAGAACGCAAUAGUACUGUCCAUUCAUGAUAGAAGAUAAGAAACGUCACCAUCGAAAAUAGAAAAUCAUAACUUCUGUCAAGCAAUCAAAAUCAUGAAUAAAACAUCUUAGAAAAUGUAAAAAACAAAUUAUUAGAACAAAAUGAUAUUAAUUUAAGACCAUAAAUAAAUAUCAUAAAAUUUAUAGCAACAAUAUAUAUUAUGUCGAGUGCAGAUUAAAAUAUUUAACCAUGGCGCCAAGCAUACAUCCACCUUGCACUCCUUCGGCAUCGUGUACGCCCAUAAGAUGCCACCCAACUCCACCUCCAUGUCAAAACCCCGAGAAAUGUCUCAAGAGGACAAAAUCAAAAGGAGCAAAGCCGUGCCCGAGUGCCCUGUCUAUAAUGGCCACCCGUUCGAAAGCAUCAUGCGGUAGCUGUGGAAAAUUCAAGGGUGCUUCGAAUCCAAGGAAUGUUAAAAAAGUACAGAGCUAUCUAAAAGACAAAUCAAAACAAGCCAGGUUGAGAAAAAAAGACAGUGAAACUGGUAGUCGUUCAUACGUUAGUUAUGCCAAAAAAAAGGGGACACCUAGAAAAGAGAACGACUGUUGUACUGGAAGAGGCCAUAGAGGGCGGCUCAUAAAGAAAAACAAAUGUUGCACUAUUAUAUAGAUCUUCAUUACGAUGUUUUGAGAAUGGGUUGACCAAAAAAAAUAUUUGAUACCUUUUUUUAUGUUGGACUUAAAAAAGCCGCAAACAAGUUAAAGCCAUGCGUGUCGGCACCUACUUGUAGCGUGCAUAGACAUAGACCACAGCCGCCUCCAUGUCCUAAUCCAGAAACAUGCUACAAAAAAGGACGUAAGAGCUUCUACAGAUGUCCCAGUUCAACGGCC